rnacentral:rRNA from 1 species
AACGAACGCUGGCGGCAUGCCUAACACAUGCAAGUCGAACGAGAGCUUCGGGUCUCGUGGCGCACGGGUGUGUAAAGCGUUGGAACCUGCCGUUAGGCUCGGAAUAACACCUUGAAAGGGGUGCUAAUACAGGAUAACGUAUUCGAACCAAAGAUUUAUCGCCCUUGGAUGAGCGCGCGUUGGUAUAGCUUGUUGGUAGGGUAUAAGCCUACCUAGGCGUCGAUCCAUAGCUGGUCUGAGAGGAUGAUCAGCCACACUGAGACUGAGACACGGCCCAGACUCCUACAGGAGGCGGCAGUGGGGAAUAUUGGACUAUGGGCGAAAGGCUGAUCCAGCAAUGCCGCGUGAGUGAUUAAGUCCUGAGGGAUGUAAAGCUCUUUUACCCGGGAUGAUAAUGACAGUACCGAGAGAAUAAGCUCCGGCUAACUCCGUG